UACAGAGGGGGCGAGCGUUAUUCGGAAUUAUUGGGCGUAAAGGGCGCGUAGGCGGCCUUUCAAGUGACGGGUGAAAUCCCUCGGCUUAACCGAGGAACUGCCUGUCAGACUGGAAGGCUUGAGACCGGGAGAGGUGAGUGGAAUUCCCAGUGUAGCGGUGAAAUGUGUAGAGAUCGGGAGGAACACCGGUGGCGAAGGCGGGUCUCUGGGCAUUCCCUGACGCUGAGGCGCGAAAGCGUGGGGAGCAAACGGG
rnacentral:rRNA from 1 species